AGUGAACGCUGGCGGUAGGCCUAACACAUGCAAGUCGAACGGCAGCACAGUAAGAGCUUGCUCUUACGGGUGGCGAGUGGCGGACGGGUGAGGAAUACAUCGGAAUCUACUUUUUCGUGGGGGAUAACGUAGGGAAACUUACGCUAAUACCGCAUACGACCUACGGGUGAAAGCAGGGGAUCUUCGGACCUUGCGCGAUUGAAUGAGCCGAUGUCGGAUUAGCUAGUUGGCGGGGUAAAGGCCCACCAAGGCGACGAUCCGUAGCUGGUCUGAGAGGAUGAUCAGCCACACUGGAACUGAGACACGGUCCAAACUCCUACGGGAGGCAGCAGUGGGGAAUAUUGGACAAUGGGCGAAAGCCUGAUCCAGCCAUACCGCGUGGGUGAAGAAGGCCUUCGGGUUGUAAAGCCCUUUUGUUGGGAAAGAAAAGCGGCAGGUUAAUACCCCGCUGUUCUGACGGUACCCAAAGAAUAAGCACCGGCUAACUUCGU
rnacentral:rRNA from 1 species